AUGAGGCAGCGGCGGAAGACUUGCCUUUUUGAAGCCAUCAGGACCAUCGAAAAUGCCACAAGAACAGUGGUCAAAGAUCUGAAUUAUGGACGCUUAAACAAGAUGGAACAAGACUUUGGUUAUCUAAGGCUCAGGCUCAAUGAAGCAUUUGACACAAUAGACAGGGUUGCCAAAGGAUAUUUGUAUGCUAUAAGAUACAUGCCAGCUUUCUUACAUCAGCUUCAUAAUGUGAUAGCACAUACUUUUCCUCCUACUCGUGUUGUGGACAAGUCAACAAAUGAGGCUCUCAAGAAUAUUGAGGUGGUAGCUCAUAAUCUCAGGACAGAAGCAAUAGUCUUGAGAACAAGCUAUAUGUGUUGA
rnacentral:rRNA from 1 species